UGUGUGUGUGUGUGUGUGUGUGUGUGUGUGUGUGUUGGAUGUAUGUCUGCGUGUGUGUGUGUGCGUGUGUAUGUCAGUCCUCCUCGCGCACCUGAUAAACUUUUCACUCUUGCAGGAAUUCUAUUAAACUCUAUUCAUAACAUUAUUUUUAUCUAGUGAAUAAACGUAAUAUGUUCACGUUUAAUAAUUAUCAAGGUGAAGUCUCGGCCUUAACAGCACUCUCAUUCCUAGCUCUAAUGGACGCUUCUGGGAGCUAUUUGUAUGUAUAUUAUAGCCUUGUUUAAUUGCUUGCCGUGUUGCUGAGAAUCACGUCUGUCAACCUUGAAUAUCUUAGCGGAAAACAAGGCCAAACGAAACAGGGUGAAGAAAAGGGUUGAAUAUCUUAGCGGGAAACAAGGCCAAACGAAACAGGGUGAAGAAAAGGGUUGAAUAUCUUAGCGGGAAACAAGGCCAAACGAAACAGGGUGAAGAAAAGGGUUGAAUAUCUUAGUGGGAAACAAGGCCAAACGAAACAGGGUGAAGAAAAGGGUUGAAUAUCUUAGUGGGAAACAAGGCCAAACGAAACAGGGUGAAGAAAAGGGUUGAAUAUCUUAGUGGGAAACAAGACCAAACGAAACAGGGUGAAGAAAAGGGUUGAAUAUCUUAGCGGGAAACAAGGCCAAACGAAACAGGGUGAAGAAAAGGGUUGAAUAUCUUAGCGGGAAACAAGGCCAAACGAAACAGGGUGAAGAAAAGGGUUGAAUAUCUUAGCGGGAAACAAGGCCAAACGAAACAGGGUGAAGAAAAGGGUUGAAUAUCUUAGCGGGAAACAAGGCCAAACGAAACAGGGUGUAGAAAAGGGUUGAAUAUCUUAGUGGGAAACAAGACCAAACGAAACAGGGUGUAGAAAAGGGUUGAAUAUCUUAGUGGGAAACAAGACCAAACGAAACAGGGUGUAGAAAAGGGUUGAAUAUCUUAGUGGGAAACAAGACCAAACGAAACAGGGUGUAGAAAAGGGUUGAAUGUCUUAGCGGGAAACAAGGCCAAACGAAACAGGGUGAAGAAAAGGGUUGAAUAUCUUAGCGGAAAACAAGGCCAGACGAGGAUAAACAAACAGGGUGAAGAAAAGGGUUGAAUAUCUUAGCGGGAAACAAGGCCAGACGAGGAUAAACAAACAGGGUGAGGAAAAGGAUAAAGCAGAACGAGGAAGUAAGAAAAGAAUGCAAGUAGAGAAAAAGGGAGGAAGGAGGAGGAUAAGGAAGUAGAGAGAAAUGGGAUAAAGAAAAGGGGUAAAGCGAAACCAAGAAAUAGCGAAAGAAAAAGGGAGAAAAAGUAGGGUGGAAAAAUAGGUUACAGAAUAAAGAUACGGUAAAGAAAAAGGGUUAAGUAAAUAGGGAGACAUAAAUAGGAUAAGAAAAUGUUGGGUUAAGAAAGAAAUAGGAUAAAGAAACGGAUAAAUAAAUUGGAUAUAGAAAGAAAUAGGUUAAAGAAAUAGGUAAAGAAAUAGGGAAAAAAAAGUAGGAUAAAAAAGUAGCGUAAGGAAAGAAAUAGAAAAGAAAAGAAAAAUGGGAAAGCGGAAGCAAGGGAUAAAGAAACAAAGAAAACAAGGAAACAACUAAAACGAAAACACAAAAAUGCCUCCCUGUCGCUGCUCCUGAUACAAAAAAAAAAAAAAAGAACGUGAUAAGGGAGAAGACUUAAACGCAACAACAACAACAAUAAAAAAAAAGCGAGAGGACAGUUUGUACUCAGAGAUGUCUUUCAUGAAACAAAAAAAAAAAGAAAAAAGAACGUGAUAAAGGAGAAGACUUAAACGCAAUAACAACAACAAUAAAAAAAGAAAAAAAAAAGAAAAAGCGAGAGGACAGUUUGGAUUCAGAGAUGUCUUUCAUGUGUGUGUGUGUGUGUGUGUGUGUGUGUUGCGACAGAGAAGAACCCAUAGUCAUGCUCCACUCCACGACACAUGAUGAACGCGUCCCCCAUCUCCUUUAAGAGCCGCGUCGCACAUGAAUAUAAUUGUCUUUAAGAGCAUGUGUCGUGCGUUGUGCCCUUGCCUCCCCUCCCUCGCCGCGCCAUUCAUAAUUACAGAGCCAGAGAAUAGUUACUUGUUUGUUAGUCCUAUCAACACACACACACACACACACACACACACACACACACACACACACACACACACACACACACACACA